AUGGGAAGCAGGUUAAUAUUCCUGCACCGUCGUAUGAUGCGAUGGGGGGACGGAUCGCGGAAGGUUGUCCAACGGUUGGAAGUGUUGGUUUUUGGCUCAUAGAAGGCGCUUAGGCAAAUCCGGGCGCAGGAUUCAAGGGGUCGAGACGAGGAACUUAGGUUCUGAAGCAAUCGGAAGUGGUUCCAAGAAAAGCCUCUAAGCUUCAGUCAUACGAGACCGUAC
rnacentral:rRNA from 1 species